rnacentral:siRNA from 1 species
UACCCUACUGAUGCCCGCGUC